rnacentral:rRNA from 1 species
AAGGAUCAUUACCGAGUGAGGGCCCUCUGGGUCCAACCUCCCACCCGUGUUUAUUUUACCUUGUUGCUUCGGCGGGCCCGCCUUAACUGGCCGCCGGGGGGCUCACGCUCCCGGGCCCGCGCCCGCCCGAAGACACCCCCGAACUCUGUCUGAAGAUUGCAGUCUGAGUGAAACCGAAAUUAUUUAAAACUUUCAACAACGGAUCUCUUGGUUCCGGCAUCGAUGAAGAACGCAGCGAAAUGCGAUACGUAAUGUGAAUUGCAAUUCAGUGAAUCAUCGAGUCUUUGAACGCACAUUGCGCCCCCUUGGUAUUCCGGGGGGCAUGCCUGUCCGAGCGUCAUUGCUGCCCCCAAGCCCGGCUUGUGUGUUGGGCCCCGUCCCCCGAUCCCCGGGGGACGGGCCCGAAAGGCAGCGGCGGCACCGCGUCCGGUCCUCGAGCGUAUGGGGCUUUGUCACCCGCUCCGUAGGCCCGGCCGGCGCCUGCCGAUCAACCCCAAAUUUUUAAUCCAGGUUGACCUCGGAUCAGGUAGGGAUACCCGCUGAACUUAA